rnacentral:rRNA from 1 species
UACAGAGGUCCCAAGCGUUGUUCGGAUUCAUUGGGCGUAAAGGGUGCGUAGGCGGCGCGGUAAGUCGGGUGUGAAAUCUCGGAGCUUAACUCCGAAACUGCAUCCGAUACUGCCGUGCUUGAGGACUGGAGAGGAGACUGGAAUUUACGGUGUAGCGGUGAAAUGCGCAGAUAUCAGGAGGAACACCAGCGGCGAAGGCGCUGCUCUGGGCCGGUACUGACGCUGAGGAGCGAAAGCGUGGGGAGCGAACAGG